rnacentral:rRNA from 1 species
CAAUAGCGUAUAUUAAAGUUGUUGCAGUUAAAAAGCUCGUAGUUGGACUUCUGGUUUGGGGUGGUGGUCCGCCUAACGGUGUGCACUGUUGCCUUGAGCCUUCUUCCUGUAGUCCGUUUGUGCACUUAAUUGUGUGCUCUUGGAAUAUGGGACCUUUACUUUGAAAAAAUUAGAGUGUUCAAAGCAGGCCUUCGCUUGAAUACAUUAGCAUGGAAUAAUAGAAUAGGACUUUGGUUCUAUUUUGUUGGUUUCUAGGACCGAAGUAAUGAUUAAUAGGGACGGUUGGGGGCAUUAGUAUUUAAUUGUCAGAGGUGAAAUUCUUGGAUUUAUGAAAGACUAACUACUGCGAAAGCAUUUGCCAAGGAUGUUUUCAUUAAUCAAGAACGAAAGUUAGGGGAUCGAAGAUGAUUAGAUACCA